rnacentral:misc_RNA from 1 species
GGUUAAUCUACCGAAAAUAUGCAACUGACCCCCAAAAGAUACCCUAACUAUGCAUCAUCUUCAGGUAAAUACAUUGCACCCUCAGGUUGAGGCCGAGCCAUUUGCAUGCAGGAAUUCCCAGUAUUUUGUUAGCAUGUGAUCAUUUGGAUGUACUUGAUCCCAAUUGCCCGUACAAAAUAUUGCAUAUGCAUCAGCUGCAUACUUGCCAAUACCAUGCAGCUGUGUGACAUGAGUCCAAUUUUUUCCAAGAUAUUCUUGAGAGAGACGCGGAAUAGACAGUGAC